rnacentral:rRNA from 1 species
GUGCCAGCAGCCGCGGUAAUACGUAGGUGGCAAGCGUUAUCCGGAAUUAUUGGGCGUAAAGCGCGCGUAGGCGGUUUUUUAAGUCUGAUGUGAAAGCCCACGGCUCAACCGUGGAGGGUCAUUGGAAACUGGAAAACUUGAGUGCAGAAGAGGAAAGUGGAAUUCCAUGUGUAGCGGUGAAAUGCGCAGAGAUAUGGAGGAACGCCAGUGGCGAAGGCGACUUUCUGGUCUGUAACUGACGCUGAUGUGCGAAAGCGUGGGGAUCAAACAGGAU